GUUAAUGUCGGGGACGCGGGGGCGGUAAUACGAGGGGUGGAGGGGUUAGUGGGAAUUACUGGGCGGAAAGCGUGCUUAGGUGGGUCGUUAAGUCGGUCGUGAAAGCCCCGGGCGCAACCGGGGAAUGGCGAUGGAUACUGGCGGGCUAGAGUGCGGUAGAGGAGAGUGGAAUUCCCGGUGUAGCAGUGAAAUGCGUAGAGAUCGGGAGGAACAUCAGUUGCGAAGGCGGCUCUCUGGACCAGCACUGACACUGAGGCACGAAAGCGUGGGGAGCAAACAGGAUUAGAUACCCUAGUAGUC
rnacentral:rRNA from 1 species